rnacentral:rRNA from 3 species
AGGCUGAGCUGUGAUGGGGAGAAGACAUUGUGUCUUCGAGUCGUUGAUUUCACACUGCCGAGAAAAGCCUCUAGAUAGAAAAUAGGUGCCCGUACCGCAAACCGACACAGGUAGUCAAGAUGAGAAUUCUAAGGUGAGCGAGCGAACUCUCGUUAAGGAACUCGGCAAAAUGACCCCGUAACUUCGGGAGAAGGGGUGCUCUUUAGGGUUAACGCCCAGAAGAGCCGCAGUGAAUAGGCCCAAGCGACUGUUUAUCAAAAACACAGGUCUCUGCUAAACCGUAAGGUGAUGUAUAGGGGCUGACGCCUGCCCGGUGCUGGAAGGUUAAGAGGAGUGGUUAGCUUCUGCGAAGCUACGAAUCGAAGCCCCAGUAAACGGCGGCCGUAACUAUAACGGUCCUAAGGUAGCGAAAUUCCUUGUCGGGUAAGUUCCGACCCGCACGAAAGGCGUAACGAUUUGGGCACUGUCUCAACGAGAGACUCGGUGAAAUCAUAGUACCUGUGAAGAUGCAGGUUACCCGCGACAGGACGGAAAGACCCCGUGGAGCUUUACUGUAGCCUGAUAUUGAAAUUCGGCACAGCUUGUACAGGAUAGGUAGGAGCCUUUGAAACGUGAGCGCUAGCUUACGUGGAGGCGCUGGUGGGAUACUACCCUAGCUGUGUUGGCUUUCUAACCCGCACCACUUAUCGUGGUGGGAGACAGUGUCAGGCGGGCAGUUUGACUGGGGCGGUCGCCUCCUAAAAGGUAACGGAGGCGCUCAAAGGUUCCCUCAGAAUGGUUGGAAAUCAUUCAUAGAGUGUAAAGGCAUAAGGGAGCUUGACUGCGAGACCUACAAGUCGAGCAGGGUCGAAAGACGGACUUAGUGAUCCGGUGGUUCCG